UACGGAGGUGGCAAGCGUUGCUCGGAAUCACUGGGCGUAAAGGGCGCGUAGGCGGGGAGGUAAGUCGGGUGUGAAAUCCCUCGGCCCAACCGAGGAACUGCGCCCGAGACUGCUUCUCUUGAGUCCCGGAGAGGAAGAUGGAAUUCCCGGUGUAGCGGUGAAAUGUGUAGAGAUCGGGAGGAACACCGGUGGCGAAGGCGGUCUUCUGGACGGUGACUGAUGCUGAGGCGCGAAAGCGUGGGGAGCAAACGGG
rnacentral:rRNA from 1 species